CCUACGGGAGGCUGCAGUGGGGAAUAUUGGACAAUGGGCGAAAGCCUGAUCCAGCCAUGCCGCGUGUGUGAAGAAGGCCUUCGGGUUGUAAAGCACUUUCAGUGGGGAAGAAAGCCUUGGGGCUAAUACCCUCGAGGAAGGACAUCACCCACAGAAGAAGCACCGGCUAACUCCGUGCCAGCAGCCGCGGUAAUACGGAGGUGCGAGCGUUAAUCGGAAUUACUGGGCGUAAAGCGCGCGUAGGCGGUCUGAUAAGCCGGUUGUGAAAGCCCCGGGCUCAACCUGGGAACGGCAUCCGGAACUGUCAGGCUAGAGUGCAGGAGAGGAAGGUAGAAUUCCCGGUGUAGCAGUGAAAUGCGUAGAGAUCGGGAGGAAUACCAGUGGCGAAGGCGGCCUUCUGGACUGACACUGACGCUGAGGUGCGAAAGCGUGGGUAGCAAACAGGAUUAGAUACCCCAGUAGUC
rnacentral:rRNA from 1 species